UACGCUAAGUAGCCAAGGAUGAUUG
rnacentral:piRNA from 1 species